GGACUACCAGGGUAUCUAAUCCUGUUUGAUCCCCACGCUUUCGUGCAUGAGCGUCAAUAUCUGCGUAGUAAGCUGCCUUCGCAAUAGGUAUUCUAUGUCAUAUCUAAGCAUUUCACCGCUACAUGACAUAUUCUGCUUACCUCCACAGCAUUCAAGAUAUAUAGUAUCAACGGCAGUUUUCCCGUUAAGCGGGAAGAUUUCACCACUGACUUACAUAUCCGCCUGCGCACCCUUUAAACCCAGUAAAUCCGGAUAACGCUUGCACCCUCCGUAUUACCGCGGCGGCUGGCAC
rnacentral:rRNA from 2 species